UACGGAGGGUGCGAGCGUUGUCCGGAAUCAUUGGGCGUAAAGGGCGCGUAGGCUGCGGGGCAAGUCGGGUGUGAAAUCUCAGAGCUCAACUCUGAAACUGCACUCGAUACUGCUUUGCUUGAGGACUGGAGAGGAGAUUGGAAUUCACGGUGUAGCAGUGAAAUGCGUAGAUAUCGUGAGGAAGACCAGUGGCGAAGGCGGAUCUCUGGACAGUUCCUGACGCUGAGGCGCGAAGGCCAGGGGAGCAAACGGG
rnacentral:rRNA from 1 species